CUUCCUCACCCCGCACCCUUUUCUUCCCAUGUCUGCCUUAGUCUUCUUCCCACCCUCUUCUCCUCUCCCCAUCGCCUUCUUCCCACCCUCUUCUCCUCUCCCAAUCGUCGUCUUUCCCAGCCUCUUCUCCAUUUUCUUGCCGCCUCCAUAUCCCCACCUUCUCGCAGCAGCGUCUUCCUGCCGCGCUUUUCUCUCCCCUCACCAUCUUCUCUUCCUCUUCCCCACCGUCCUCUCCCCACGCCCUCUUCUCCUCACUGUCUUCUCCCCGCGCCUUCCCCACAACCGUUUUGUCCCCCGUUUUCUUCCCCUCACACCGUUUUCUUCCCAUGUCCUCCCACCGUCUCGCAGCAGCGUCUGUCAGUCGCAAUCUUCUUCCCACUUUCUUCUCUCCCCCUCCCAUCGUCUUUUUUCCCCAGCCUCUUAUUCUCCGCCAUCUUCUUCCCCUCCCCACCUUCUCGCAGCAGCGACUUCCUGCCGCGUUUUUCUCUCCCCGCACCCUCUUCUCCCCUCUUCCACUCCCCACCGUCUUCGCCCCCGAUCGUCUUCUUGCCCACCCCCUUCUCGCGCUCUCCAACUGCCUUUCACCUAGAAGCGCUCCACGCGUGCGCCCGCCUGUGUCCCUGCGCCUGGUGUGUCUGUGCGCCCAGCCAGCCCCAUGAGCUGGGCCCCUGAGCUCCGCCCCAACAGCCAACAGGAGACCCAGGAGAGUCGCUGCCAGGGCCAUCACGGCUGCCGCCGCCCCCGCCCCCGCCGCUACCUCAGAACUGAACAGUGUUGGCUGCGGGCGAAAGACAGAAGGUCGUGGGAACAUACAGAGACCUACAGGGAAGACGGCCAUGGGACAAGGGAGGCAGAGUCUGGAGUUACGCUGCCUACAGUCACGGAAUGCCAAGGACAGCUGGAAACCACCAGAAGCUAAGAAGGAGAUUUUACCUGAAAGCCUCUCAAAGAAAUCAAUCAUACUCACACCUCCUUUUUGAAUUUCUGGCCUCGUGAAUGGUGAAAAAAUAAAUUUCUGUCGUCUUAAGCCCCACGGUUUGUAGUCAUUUGUUCUGUUCCUAGCCUUAGGAAACUAACACAGCAUGCUAAGGGAAAAGAAGAGAAUUCUGCAUAAAAUGUCAUUUUACUUUUUAAAACAACUACUGUUGACAGUAAAUGAGUAUUCUUCCAAGAUUCAUAUGCAGAACAUAUAUGCAGCCCGGAACAUUUUUUGGGACCCAUGGCAUAAGUGAUUAUGAUAGAUAAAAUCCAAAUAUUAACCUGCCAAAAGAGUUAUUUUUUCUUUUGCAGUCAUUUAAAGGUAAUAAGCAGAGGUCAUGAGCCCUGUAAAAAUUAAUCUAUUCAUUUGUUGUCACUUGAUACUUACGAUCCGUUGACAUAUUUAGGUUUUAAUUCUUUGUACAGAUUAUGGUUCGUCUUGCACUGUAAUUUUAUUGCACAACAAAUUUUUUAUUUAUCAUAUAUCUAAGUUGUUUCUUAAACGUGAGUAACAUUGCACUUGAAAAUACUCAGAAGACUUCUGUCGACGUUCUCGUAACAGCUUCUUCUAGUUAAUAAAAACCUAAUCCCAUUUUCCUAUUAUGUAUAGAUUACAAGUAAAAUCGGCAUUUAAAAAGUAAAAUCUGUUCGACAAUUUCUAUUGCUAUUGUAGGUAGUAUAACAUAAAAUGUGUCUUAUUUUUCCCUCACUCAUUGACAAUUUAAGUAAAUUUUUUAAACCAAGAAGCUCUUUUCACAUACCAGGCCCAGUGAUUGGAAUUGAGUAUUCAGUAUUGAACAGAGCAAACAAGUUUCUUAUCAUUAAGCUCAUAUUCUAUGUUAUAAACAUUUUUCCAGUGAAAUUACUGGAAUGUUUU
rnacentral:lncRNA from 1 species